rnacentral:pre_miRNA from 1 species
UAUGAAAAAUUUCAUCCAUUUCUAUUGUUAAAAACUUACAUGUGGUUGACAGAAUAACUAAAUAGUUACUGAUGGUGUGUCAAAUAUACCGCAUUUUAACGUACAGACUACAGAGUCUUGCUUUUAACAAUAGAAAUAGAUGAAAAUUUUAAUA